CCUACGGGGGGCAGCAGUGAGGAAUAUUGGUCAAUGGACGAGAGUCUGAACCAGCCAAGUAGCGUGAAGGAUGACUGCCCUAUGGGUUGUAAACUUCUUUUAUAUGGGAAUAAAACGUUCCACGUGUGGGAUUUUGUAUGUACCAUAUGAAUAAGGAUCGGCUAACUCCGUGCCAGCAGCCGCGGUAAUACGGAGGAUCCGAGCGUUAUCCGGAUUUAUUGGGUUUAAAGGGAGCGUAGGUGGAUUGUUAAGUCAGUUGUGAAAGUUUGCGACUCAACCGUAAAAUUGCAGUUGAAACUGGCAGUCUUGAGUACAGUAGAGGUGGGCGGAAUUCGUGGUGUAGCGGUGAAAUGCUUAGAUAUCACGAAGAACUCCGAUUGCGAAGGCAGUUCACUGGACUGCAACUGACACUGAGGCUCGAAAGUGUGGGUAUCAAACAGGAUUAGAUACCCUUGUAGUC
rnacentral:rRNA from 1 species